AGUGAACGCUGGCGGCAGGCCUAAUACAUGCAAGUCGAACGGCAGCACAGUGGAGCUUGCUCCAUGGGUGGCGAGUGGCGGACGGGUGAGGAAUACAUGGGAAUCUGCCCAGUCGUGGGGGAUAACGUAGGGAAACUUACGCUAAUACCGCAUGCGCCCUUCGGGGGAAAGCCGGGGACCUUCGGGCCUGGCGCGAUUGGAUGAGCCCAUGUUCGAUUAGCUAGUUGGCGGGGUAAAGGCCCACCAAGGCGACGAUCGAUAGCUGGUCUGAGAGGAUGAUCAGCCACACUGGGACUGAGACACGGCCCAGACUCCUACGGGAGGCAGCAGUAUGGAAUAUUGGACAAUGGGCGCAAGCCUGAUCCAGCCAUGCCGCGUGAGUGAAGAAGGCCCUCGGGUUGUAAAGCUCUUUUGUCCGGGAAGAAAAGCAUCGGGCUAAUACCUCGGUGUUCUGACGGUACCGGAAGAAUAAGCACCGGCUAACUUCGUG
rnacentral:rRNA from 1 species